rnacentral:rRNA from 1 species
UACGGGGGGGGCAAGCGUUGUUCGGAAUUACUGGGCGUAAAGGGCUCGUAGGUGGCCAACUAAGUCGGACGUGAAAUCCCUCAGCUUAACUGGGGAACUGCGUCCGAUACUGGUUGGCUUGAAUCCGGGAGAGGGAUGUGGAAUUCCAGGUGUAGCGGUGAAAUGCGUAGAUAUCUGGAGGAACACCGGUGGCGAAGGCGACAUCCUGGACCGGCAUUGACGCUGAGGCGCGAAAGCCAGGGGAGCAAACGGG